rnacentral:rRNA from 1 species
AUUGAACGCUGGCGGCAUGCUUUACACAUGCAGGUCGAACGGUAACAGGGUGCUUGCACCGCUGACGAGUGGCGAACGGGUGAGUAAUGCGUCGGAACGUGCCGAGUAGUGGGGGAUAACGCAGCGAAAGUUGUGCUAAUACCGCAUACGUACUGAGGUAGAAAGUGGGGGACCUUCGGGCCUCACGCUAUUCGAGCGGCCGACGUCUGAUUAGCUAGUAGGUGAGGUAAAGGCUCACCUAGGCGACGAUCAGUAGCGGGUCUGAGAGGAUGAUCCGCCACACUGGGACUGAGACACGGACCCGACGCCAACGGGAGGCAGCAGUGGGGAAUUUUGGACAAUGGGCGAAAGCCUGAUCCAGCCAUGCCGCGUGUCUGAAGAAGGCCUUCGGGUUGUAAAGGACUUUUGUCAGGGAGGAAAUCCCUAGUGCUAAUAACACUGGGGGAUGACAGUACCUGAAGAAUAAGCACCGGCUAACUACGUGCCAGCCGCCGCGGUAA